rnacentral:rRNA from 1 species
CCGCGCGAAGGUAGCGUAAUCACUUGUUUUUUAAUUAAAGACUAGUAUGAACGGCCGCACGAGGACCUAACUGUCUCCUUUGUCCAAUCAGUGAAACUGAUCUCCUCGUGCAGAAGCGAGGAUUUUACCAUAAGACGAGAAGACCCUAUGGAGCUUUAAACUUUUAUUAAUUAUUUUCUUUACCCCUCUAAGGAGCUAACAGCCAAUUUAAUUUAUUUAAUAAAAGUUUUAGGUUGGGGCGACCAUGGAGAAAAAAAAAUCCUCCCUGAUGAUAACCUAACCAAGAGCCACAGCUCUAAGUAUUAAGACACUUAACUCCUAUUGACCCAUUUUAUGAUCAACGAACCAAGUUACCCUAGGGAUAACAGCGCAAUCCAUUUCAAGAGUCCCUAUCGACAAAUGGGUU